rnacentral:ncRNA from 1 species
UUCAUACGAAAGAUUUUGGGUGCCCGACAAGGCUUAAUAGGGAAUCUGGUUAGAACCCAGAGCUGUCCUCGCAACUGUAAGUGAUGACGAAAAGGAAGUUCCACUGUGCGUUAUGCAUGGGAAGGAUCCUGAGUAGGAUGAAACACAAGUCAGUAGACCUGCCAAAAUCUUAUGUUUCAA